ensembl:lncRNA
UCCAUACAUCCCUCCCUCCAUACUGCCAUCAUUCUGUCUAUCCCACCAUACUGCCAUCAUUCCAUACAUCCCUCCCUCCAUCUCUCAGUCCAUUGAGCGUCUCCAUGAUAUCAGGGUCUUCUGUGUGAUGUUCUGUAUGUGCUGAUAUUGUGUAUAUAUAAUAUUAAUUAAUGUAGAUGAACACACACAGAUAAACUACAUGACCAAAAGUAUGUGGACACCUGCUCAUCGAACAUCUCAUUCCAAACUCAUAGGCAUUAAUAUGGAGUUUGUCCCCCCUUUGCUGCUAUAACAGCCUCCACUCUUCUGGGAAGGCUUUCUACUAGAUGUUGGUACAUUGCUGCUGGGACUUGCUUCCAUUCAGCCACAAGAGCAUUAUUGCGGACAGGCACUGAUGUUGGGUGAUUAGACCUGGCUCGCAUUCGCCUUUCCAAUUCAUCCCAAGGUGUUCGAUGGGGUUGAGGUCAGGGCUCUAUGAAGGCCAGUCAAGUUCUUCCACAUUGAUCUCGACAAACCAUUUCUGUAUGGACCUCACUUUGUGGAUGAGGGCAUUGCCAUGCUGAAACAUGAAAGGGCCUUCUCCAACCUGUUGCCACAAAGUUGGAAACACAGAAUCGUCUUGAAUGUCAAUGUCAAGAUUUCCCUUCACAGGAACUAGCCCGAACCAUAAAAAACAGCCCCAGUCCAUUAUUCCUCUUCCACCGAACUUUACAGUUGGCACUGUGCAUUCAGGCAGGUGGUGUUCUCCUGGCACACCCCAAACACAGAUUCAGAUUCACCAAAUGGUGAAGCGUUAUUCAUGACUCCAGAGAACACGUUUCCACUGCUCCAGAGGCCAAUGGUGGUGAGCUUUACACCACUGCAGCU